rnacentral:rRNA from 1 species
UGUUCCCUAGGGGGGCAGCAGUCGGGAAUAUUUCGCAAUGGAGGAAACUCUGACGGAGUGACGCCGCGUGAAGGAAGAAGGUUUUCGGAUUGUAAACUUCUUUAGACAGGGAAGAAACAAGACAGUAGCUGUAGAAUAAGCUCCGGCUAACUAAGUGCCAGCAGCCGCGGUAAUACGUAGGGAGCAAGCGUUAUCCGGAUUUAUUGGGUGUAACGGGUGCGGAGACGGGAAAACAAGAUGGUUGUGAAAUCCCUCGGCUUAACUGAGGAACU